rnacentral:rRNA from 1 species
UGAAAGAAUGGUUUUUGCUUCCACUUAUAGAAGGGACCCCCGCGCCCUAUUAAGCUAGUUGGGAAGGGUACCGGCCUUCCCAAGGCCGACGAUACGUACCCCCCCUGAGAGGGGGUUCGCCCCCCCCGGGAAAUUGAGACCCGGGUCCAGACUCCUUCGGGGGGGCAGCAGUGGGGAAUCUUCCCCAAUGGGGGAAAUCCUGACGAGAGCAACCCCCCGUGAGUGAGGAAGGUCUUCGGGUUCGUAAAACUCUGUUUUUAGGGAAGACCAUGCGGGUAAGUAAAUAUUCAUGUCUUGACGGUAUCUAAUCAGAAAGCCACGGCUAACUACGUGCCAGCAGCCGCGGUAAUACGUAGGUGGCAAGCGUUAUCCGGAAUUAUUGGGCGUAAAGCGCGCGUAGGCGGUUUUUUAAGUCUGAUGUGAAAGCCCCCGGCUCAACCGUGGAGGGUCAUUGGAAACUGGAAAACUUGAGUGCAGAAGAGGAAAGUGGAAUUCCAUGUGUAGCGGUGAAAUGCGCAGAGAUAUGGAGGAACACCAGUGGCGAAGGCGACUUUCUGGUCUGUAACUGACGCUGAUGUGCGAAAGCGUGGGGAUCAAACAGUKAUUAGAUACCCUGGUAGUCCACGCCGUAAACGAUGARUGMWAAGUGUUAGRGGGUUUCCGCCCCUYAGUGCUGCAGCUAACGCAUUAAGCACUCCGCYUGGGGAGUACGACCGCAAGGUUGAAACUCAAAGGAAUUGACGGGGGCCCGCACAAGCGGUGGAGCAUGUGGUUUAAUUCGAAGCAACGCGAAGAACCUUACCAAAUCUUGACAUCCUUUGACAACUCUAGAGAUAGAGCCUUCCCCUUCGGGGGACAAAGUGACAGGUGGUGCAUGGGUGUCCUCAUCUCGUGUCGUGAGAUGUUGUGUUAAGUCCCGCAACGAGCGCAACCCUUAAGCUUAUUUGCCAUCUUUAAGUUGGGCACUCUAAGUUGACUGCCGGAGACAAACCGGAAGAAGGUGGGGAUGACGUCAAAUCAUCGUGCCCCAUAUGAUUUGGGCUACACACGUGCUACAGUGGACAAUACAAAGGGCAGCGAAACCGCGAGGUCAAGCAAAUCCCAUAGAGUUGUUUCUCAGUUCGGAUUGUAGUCUGCAACUCCACUACUUGAAGCUGGAAUCGCUAGUAAUCGUAAAUCAACAUGCUACGGGUAAAUACGUUCCCGGGUCUUUGUACACACCGCCCGUCACACCCACGAAGAGU